UAAGUGGGAAACGGUUCGAUCGAUGGUUAAGGGAAGGCCGCACGAGAGAUGGCCUCGUCCACAAAGAACCACCUGCUCGAUCCCCAUCUGCCCCAGCGACAGCUAGGGUUCCUAGCCGUCGCCAGCGCCAUCACCGCCCUCCAUCGUUGUGUGCCAAGCCGUCGGCGUCGACUCCCGCGUCCGCCUCCCUACCGCGACAUCCUCCUUCAUCCAUUGCUCACCGGACCCCCUGCAUCCGCCUCCCAACCGUGACCUCAUCCCUCAUCGACCGCUCGCCGGAGCAGUGACCAGCAAGGGUCGCCGCUCGCGCUGACGACGGUGACACCUCCCUCUGCCCUGCCGCGACCUCCUACCUCCUCCACUGGUCGCCAGACCAUCUCCAUCGGCCUCCCCGCAGCAACCUCCUCCCUCCUCUGCUUGACGAACCAGUGAAAAACAAGGGUCGCCGCUCGCAUUGACGUCAGCAGCGCCUCUCACUCCCCAUCGUGACCUCCUCCCUCCAUUCUCCAAGAUGGAUGCAAGGAUGGAGGAGUGUCUAGAAAGGGACAAGGGGGAAUGAAACUUCUUGCUAUUGAAUCCAUAGAUGGAUCACAUGUCCCAGUGACGGUCCCUGCACAUGACGCGGUUAACCUUAGAUGUCGGCAUGAUUUUAAAUCUCAGAAUGUGCUUGCAAUAUGCGACUUUGCUAUCAUGUGGACUCUCGAUAUGCAAACUGAACAUGAUAUCUUGCUCCUUUUAAGGGGAGUACGUACCAUCUACCAAAAGUUCAUAUUCGGCGUCACCGUCCACCUCAAGGGAAGUAUGAGUUAUUAAACUUUUCACAUUUGUCCCUUCACAAUGUCGUUGAGCAUGCUUUUGUGGUGCUCAAGAAGAAACGACACAUAUUGAAAGGGGUCCCUAGUUUCUCACCUCGUACGCGAAAGCAUAUCAUCAUUGCUUGCAUGACAUUGCACAACUUCAUUCGUGGUAGCAAAUUGAGUGACUAAAUUUCUGAUAAAUGUGAUGCAGAUGAUGAGUAUGUACCCCAGUGCUACGACAAGUAGUACCACCAACGCAAGCGGAUCACAUUGAAGAGGAGGAGAACGAAGAUACCAUGGAUGCUAUUCGUAGUAGGAUAGCCGAUGGUUGUCUUGCGAUAGCAACCUAGGUUAGCUAUCUUGAUGGAGGUCAUCAUCAUGUGAACCAUAUGUACAUUCCAUGAUGCAUGCAUUUUGUAAAAUUAUUAUGGGUCAAUAUCUAUUUAUAUGUAACUAGCAAGGUGGCUCUCGCAAAUGCGAGGGCAUCAUCUUCUCCGUGUAAUUAAAAUGUGAAGUGCUUCAAUCA